rnacentral:tRNA from 1 species
AAUUGUAUAGCGCAAUGGUAACGCAUUUAUUUUUGUAGCAAAAAAAUUUGGGUUUAAUUCCCGGUACAACCU